AUGUGUCAUAGAUGGACAAAUUGCUAUGUACAAAGAUGGAAAAUUAAUGUAGUCAGCUGUAAUCUCAUGUGCUCAUCUUAUCCCUUUUUCACUGUUGGAUAAGGUAUUGUUGAUUACCUCAAGUACAGAAUCAUAAACAGAUGCAUAAAAUUACUUUCUGUGUUCCACAGCUAGAAGAAGUAUAGAGAGAAAUUUUCAGAUAAAAAAAUUAAAUGUGUUUGUCAUCCAACUACUUUCAAGGCUGGAGAGAUGUUGACUUGGGUAGGUGGAUUGCAGUUUUUCAUGGAAUCUGUAGGAUUUGAGCAGGUCACAACUAUGCUGUUGUGAAUUUGGAGUUCAAGAGUUGUGCUAAUGAAACUUUUGUACUUCCAGUAGCUAAACUACCUAAUAUCCUCUACUACAACACUUGAAUCUUUUUGUGUCUAGUUCUGGACAAGUUCCUCUUAGUAAUUUUUCACUAGGUACUUGUAGGGAACUGUUAGGUCACAGCUUGAGCCGGUGAUUGAGCACCUGGUGAAGGGGUGUGGCUGGCACGGGGAGCACAGACAAAUUGUUUGCACCUGUGUUCCCAAUGUGACCAGAAGGACUGGACCCAGAGUGGAGGCACCCUGGGCUCAUAUAAGGGCCAGCCACUGAAGGGAGAGCUUUUUCUUGACCUAGGCUGCUGUUUGAGAAGGAGUGCUGCGUAACUGGAGAGCCCCUCCACCAGUUAGUAGGGGGGAAUAACACGAUAAAGAAAAGAAUUUCCUACAGACACAAAGACAUGUAAACUAUGACAGCACAGUGCUUCCCAAGCAAAGGAAAAGAAAAAACUUUGAAAGAAACUAAACAGUCUGAAUCAUGGAAAGUUGGAUGGUUAGAGCAUUCCUGGAAAAUCACUUUAUCUACAGAAGAAAGAAUGGAGUGACUUUACUGAAAUGAGACUGACCACUGUGAGGCUGCUGCAUUAUAUGCAAGGCUUGGAGGAGUAUAAGAAAAAAGCUGUUUUGGAAAAAGAUUAUACAUUUUUUGUUUUUGUUGUUUUUUCAUAAUUAAAAGCUGCAGCUUAUCCUAGAAAAUUCAGUCUUCUCUGGAAAAUACUGUUUUCAAUUAAAAAGUAAUUGCAUUUUCUCAUGAAAACAUUUUUGUCUUCAACUUUAGAGAGCAGAGUAAUAAUUUCCAAAUAAAUUCUAAGUAAUUUGCAAACCAUUUUGUAACUAACUCUGUUACUGUUAGCUCCUCUUCAUGUGUACUGAUUUAAACAGAGAUGAGGGUUGUUUGAAAGGUCUCUUUAAGCUUUGAUUAAACAACUUUGUAGUUCUGCAAUUUCAUAUAUGUUCUAAGGCUUUUUCUUGCAAUGGAUUUAGCUGUGCAGAACAUAUGGCAUUUAUAAAAGUAGACAACACAUGGACCACAUGCUGGCAUUCAUUUCCCUCAUGAAAGUGAUUUAAUUCCAUAAUUUUAAUUCUCUUUUCUUUUGCUAAACAGAUACCAAAAUGUAUCUGAUAAUCCAAAAUGAGUUUUCUAUGAUAUACUGCAGAGUUAAGCAUACUAAAAUAUAUUCAAAUUGGUUUGAUGAGGCAAAUUUUGUUGCCCAAGAUCAGGUAAUUAUUUGAAAUCUUUCCAUAGCCUGUAGCAAGAUUACUGUGGGAAUGUAAAAAUAUAAGUAUAUUGUUAAGCAUUUCUGCUUGACACUGCUUUGGUUUUAAACAGCAAAUUAUUUCAGCAUUGUAUAACUUCUGUUACCAAUGGGGUUUGCUACAGACCUCAUGUUGUUUUCCAAAAAGCAAUAUGCAAGUACUUUUUGAAUGAGGAGACAUUUCAUUUGCAAUUGUGAACCACUUGCCCGCUGAGUCUACUUCAUGACCGCUAGUUAUGUUUUAAUUGCGCCCAUUAAAAAUCAUGCUGAAAAAAAUUUACAUUUGAUAGGCAAAGUUAAGUUUUACUCCCAUACUUGUCUCUCUGUAGGUUGCUAGAGGAAAGCAUAAGGAAAGUAAGAAAACAAGAGAAUGAAAAUAGAAACUACAGUUCAGUUAAAAAGGAAACUUCAAAUAAAAUCUUGAAACAAGGUUUUAUGAGCUCUUUAUCAAAGAUUUAUUGUUCCAGUAAUACUAAAGUGAUCUUACAACUCAUCUAACAGUAAUUGCUAGAUAUUUACUGAUGAACUGCACUGUAGUUAAAAAAAAAAAAAAAAAA